UACAGAGGGUGCGAGCGUUGUCCGGAAUUACUGGGCGUAAAGGGCUCGUAGGCGGCCAACUAAGUCGGACGUGAAAUCCCCAGGCUCAACCUGGGAACUGCGUCCGAUACUGGAUGGCUUGAAUCCGGGAGAGGGAUGCAGAAUUCCAGGUGUAGCGGUGAAAUGCGUAGAUAUCUGGAGGAAUACCGGUGGCGAAGGCGGCAUCCUGGACCGGCAUUGACGCUGAGGAGCGAAAGCCAGGGGGAGCAAACGGG
rnacentral:rRNA from 1 species